CCUCCCCGGGCCCCUCCCCCGGGCCCGCCCCUUCCCGGUUUGGGACCCCUUAGAGCCGAGGGUGCCCCCUGCACCCCAUGAGUUCACUCCUGCCUCCCAAGGGUAAGUUCUCCCGAGCGUUGACUUUUCAAGGACUCUUUCACCGGCCUCGCGGAGACCUUCCGUGGCUCCCCGCCCCCGGUCCCGUCCCUCCGACGUGGCUACUUUUCGGGGUGGGCAGUAUAAAGGGCCGGAGACAGCGCGGGCCGAGACCCGAGACGUGGCGCGUCCGCCCUACCCGUCUAGGCUACAGUGCUUGAAUUUUGGCCAUAAGGCUCAACUGCCAGCCCAGAGCCAAGGAACAGGGUGGGGGCUGAAGGAGCAUCACCUGGAGGAGAGGCAAAGAUGCUGCUGGGGACCACAAGUGCCCUUUAAAGGAAACCAUGGGAGUGGUGGUGUUUAAGAUGUGAUCCAUGGCAUUUAAGAACUGAGAAGAAAAAGAAAAAAAAAAAAGAAACUUAAAAGGAAAAAAGAAAGCUUGAUCAUCUGAAUUAUCCCA